UGUAACGGUGCACCACCAACGGCGUAGCACUGUUGGUUAGCGUCAUGGAAAAUUAAGAUAUUAGAAAUUCUGUGUUUUAUUUGUAUAAUAAUUAUUUUUUUUGACAGAAAUACCGUGGAAGUUGGCAUUUGAGAAAAGACGUCAAUUUUUCGUUAGCACCUGAACUAGUAUUGAAUUAAUUGGUUCAAUGGUAUCAGCUUCCUCGUGGGAAGGAACACAAAGCCCGAAAGUUGUAAACUAUGUAAUGUUGACCAAGUUGUCUGUGGGUCAAUACCUGAUUUACAGAUUUUAAAAUAACCAAAUACCUUCAGACUGAAAACACAUGAAAAUCAUUGAGGAAUAAGGGUUGUAGACUGUGGAUGUUGAUCAGUUAUCUGUGGGUGGAAAUCUUCUUGACCAUUGGGCAAAAUAUCCUGAGACUGAAAAACACAUGUUAAAAAAAUCUAGCUAAAAAGGAGUCUAAGUAUUUCUGACACCAAAUAACUGGCCAGCCUUCUACUUUGUUUUAUGUUUCUGUCCAAGAGCAAGGUGAUACUACUGAACAAGUAACUUCCAUACUGGUUCAAGUACCAUUGCAAAAUCAAAGUCCUCUUUCUAAUGCUGUCUUUCAAGGGGUCUUCCAUUGAAGACCACAAAUCAACACCGGCGUAUCAGAAAUCCAUAUUAUCAGGAAAUUCUAGAAUUCGACAAUGGCGUGUCAUGUGACGAAAUUGAUGCCAUGGUCGUCCAUUGAGGAGCCAUGGAGUGUACUUCAUCUAAUCAUGUAUUCCAGCAAUCAGACCGGCUAGAACAGUAUGCUUUUCUCCAUUUGAGCUCCUAAUCCAUCGAAGAGCACAACAACAGCCUAGAAACGUAUACAUAUAUAUCAAUAUAACAGCAGCAAAUUCAUUUUAUUUGUUGCAUAAUA